rnacentral:ncRNA from 1 species
GGAAGACGACACGGUGGUCGGAAGUGGUGCCCAGUAGGCGGAGCAGUUGUUAAAGUAGGGAGAGAGAAUAUGAGAAGAGAGAAUUUAGUUUUUAGUGUCAAAUGUGAGUGUUUAUGACUUUGACUGCGUGACCGUUUUAAAAAUUAUCAUCACAUAUUUUAAUUUUAAAAAUUGAACUCAAUAUAUUUUUAAUUAUUUAUUUUGUUAAAAAUAACCUUUUUCUUCUCUUAUUUUCAAAAUCGUUAUUUAGUCUUUUUAAUUAACUUUGGUUAUUUUUCACAGUAGCAUGGGGCACGUGGAAUCCCGUGUGAAUCAGCAAGGACCACCUUGCAAGGCUAAAUACUCCUGGGUGACCGAUAGUGAAGUAGUACCGUGAGGGAAAGGUGAAAAGAACCCCCAUCGGGAAGUGAAAUAGAACAUGAAACC